CAUACACUCCUACGGGAGGCAGCAGUGGGGAAUAUUGCACAAUGGGCGCAAGCCUGAUGCAGCCAUGCCGCGUGUAUGAAGAAGGCCUUCGGGUUGUAAAGUACUUUCAGCGGGGAGGAAGGCGAUAAGGUUAAUAACCUUGUCGAUUGACGUUACCCGCAGAAGAAGCACCGGCUAACUCCGUGCCAGCAGCCGCGGUAAUACGGAGGGUGCAAGCGUUAAUCGGAAUUACUGGGCGUAAAGCGCACGCAGGCGGUCUGUCAAGUCGGAUGUGAAAUCCCCGGGCUCAACCUGGGAACUGCAUUCGAAACUGGCAGGCUAGAGUCUUGUAGAGGGGGGUAGAAUUCCAGGUGUAGCGGUGAAAUGCGUAGAGAUCUGGAGGAAUACCGGUGGCGAAGGCGGCCCCCUGGACAAAGACUGACGCUCAGGUGCGAAAGCGUGGGGAGCAAACAGGAUUAGAAACCCCUGUAGUCCCAUGAU
rnacentral:rRNA from 1 species